UAUCGUCCAAAAUGACAUAAUUAUCUUAUUUCUUUCAUUUAUGAUAUAAUUAGCUUAGUUAGGUCAAAAAUAGCACGAGAACCUAGGUUAGCUCUUAAAUGUCAUAUACUUAUCUUAUCUUCCUCCAAAAUGACAUAACAAGCUCAAAAUAAGAUAAGUAUUGUAAUCAUAUUAUCCUUCUUCUCCUCCUUCUUCUUGUUCUCCUCCUCCUUCUUCUUCUCC
rnacentral:lncRNA from 1 species